ACGGCGAGUGACAGGGAAUAGCCCAGCACCGAAGCCUGUGGCCGUUUGGUCACUAGGCAAUGUGGUGUUUAGGUCGUCCUUCGGGGAUGCUGCCUCAUUCCAAGUCCAUCAAUGAAUAUGGUUAUUCUGACUUGGCCCAUAGAGGGUGAAAGGCCCGUGGGGGUGAGGUUUCAGUUGUGUUAGCAUCUCCCUAGGUAGACCUUGGAGUCGGGUUGUUUGUGAUUGCAGCCCAAAGUGGGUGGUAAACUCCAUCCAAGGCUAAAUACUUGCACGAGUCCGAUAGCGAACAAGUACCGUGAGGGAAAGUUGAAAAGUACUUUGAAGAGAGAGUAAACAGUGCGUGAAACCGCUCAGAGGUAAACGGGUGGAGUUGAACUGCAAGCUUUGAGAAUUCAGCUGGUGAGUGUGAUUUGGGCUUGGCCAAAGUGAUUGGGUUUGCGAGUCUGCGGAUAUGCAGGUCCUUGCCUUCGGGUGGGGAUGUGCGAUACACUUGUCAAGUGUUGUGCGCUCGUGAAACUACUCGGAUCAACUUGCCAGUGCACUUUCUCAGAGUGUUCACCACGACCGGCGCUGCUGUCUGUCUGAUUUGGCUAAACCAGUCUUGCAUUGUCCUUGUGGCUUUGCUUGAUCGGGAUGGCAGGUUACUCGUUGGCUAGUGUGUUGGUUUCGGCUAGCAUGCAAACGGCUUUCGGGUGUUAUCAGCUGGCUAAGUCAGUAUUGUGCAGUGCGUCGGAGACGGCGGCUUGAGGUGUGUGCGCUCGUGCCUGCUUGCCGACGGUUCUGGGUUCNAUUGCUUGGUUGCCUGUCUCUGAUANGCCCGGUGAUANCUCGGUUCCGUUUGGNUUGGCGGUUGCGGAUGUGACAUAUACAAGGGCCUACAGUCUGUGGUG
rnacentral:rRNA from 1 species